GAUUAGUCUAAGAAAAAGCUGAAUGUCCAAUAGUGAGGCAGGAGAAAGGAUAGGUAGGGCUGGUGGGCAGAGAUCCCAGGGGGAAAAGAAGAACGGAAAGAUUGAGAGAAGAUGGAGGACAUGCUGGAAUAGAAGCAAGGCGGACACCAGCUAGCUGGACACAGAGAAGCUGUGGAAGUUAGACCUACAGAUGUAAGGAAAGUAAUAAGCACCAAGGCAAAAGUUAUGUCACCUAAAUGCUCUUCCUCCUUCUCGAGACAAAAAACAUCAGUUGUUUCUGUGGCUUUCUUAAUUGACUCUUCAGGUUGCUGCUGUGUCUGAUCUUCAUCUUCAGAUAUCUAAAGGAAAUGAAAGAAAUCUAUGUGCUCCAUGGUGGUCAACAAGGGUUAUAUCUUGAGUAUCCAAGAGAUAAAGCUAUCCAGGCAUGUUGGCUCAUACCUGUAAUUCUACACUUAAACUGAGGCAAGGGGACAACCUUGACAUUAAGGGCUCAGGGAACCCAAUGGAAGAGGAGGCAGAAGUAUAAGUUCCGUAGGAGAUGAAGGACACCAAGAAAACAAGGCCUUCUAAGUCAACAUGAUCAACACACAUGAAAUCACAGAGACUGAGCAGCAUGCACAGGGCCCUCAUGGGCCUGAACCAGAUGGGGCCCUAGAGUUGAAAGGAGAAGUAGACACAUGUCCUCAUCCCUAAUCCAGAAGCUAUCUCCAACUGAUAACCACUUGGAAAUGAAAACUUAACAAACUAUACAUAUGGGCAGGCUGAAUGUCCAACAGUAGAUGGCCAAUAGAAAAUGAACUCACAACUUAUCUUGUAAUGCCAUGUCAGGGAGUUUCCUUUUUAUUAAAAAUACAUCUUAUAAUUUGUUAUACCUUAUAUUUAAAUAUUGUUCUCUUCAGUCUUUCUACACUACAGGUCCUUUGUACAUAUCCUAUGGCUUCCAGAUUAAUGUUUCUAUAGAAUUCCUGAGUACUGGCAAGUGGCCUCUGUCCCUUGUGCUUUCUUCCUUCUGCUUGUUUGUUUUGGCCUAUUCAGAUAUAUUAGUUUUUAUUUUAUGUUUUGUCAUUUUAUUUCAUGAUAUUAUUAUAUUAUUAGUCCUUAGAAACCUGUUUGUUUUCUAAUGGGAGAUAGAAAUGGAUCAGGAUGGGAGGUGGAUGUGGGGAGAAACUAGGAUGAAUAGAGGAAGGGAAACUGUAAUAAAAGGGAAAAACAAGUUAUUUUAGAAUAAAAAAAUAGUGUCUAAUAAUGCCAUACAGAAGCCAUUGAUUUUUAUGGUAAUUUAAGAGGUUUGGUUUUGGGGGUUGAAUUUUUUGUUUAUUUGUUGUUUAGUUUUGUCUUUUUGUGCCAGGAUCUCACUAUGUAGCUCUGUCUCUCCUGAAAUUCACUAUGUAGACCAGACUGAACUCUGCCUCCUGAGUGCUGGGGUUAAAGGUAUAUACCACCACACCUGGCUCCAUUUUCACAAAAAUUUAAAAGAAAAUAAAUUAAUAAAAUUGGAUCAAUUCACAAAGGUUUCUAAGUAUCCUAGCAGACCAAAUAACUAAGAACUGUGCUAGGACCAAAGACCUAAGACAUACUUAGUAGUUACACUUUUAUGGACAAAAGUCACUCUUCUAUGAAUCAUGGGCAUUUACAAGCCCUAUAAACAAUUAGUAUGCAAGAUUUAUAAAAGACGCAUAGGGCAUAACAGAUGUAGCUAGAUGUCAACUAUAAAAAGAUACAUUCCUUAAUGAGAAGCAAGCAUCUUAAAAGCAGCACUAGGCAGCAUGGCAUGUUCACCAGCAUCUCUUUUCUAGCUGCUGAGAGGCUAAGGCAGAGUGAUCAUGGACCACAGUGAGAUCUUGACUCCAAAAACAAAGCAAAAGGUAACAUGAGCAAAAUGUGGGACAUGGCUAGCCAAGUAAUCUAACCAGAAAAAUAAAAACUUAAAACUACCAUGAGUUAUUAGGUUUAGAUAAUGAUAAAAGAUUGAUACAGUACUAGUAGAUACGUGACUUUUACCUGCUGCCUAUGGAAGGCUAAAGAACACACUUACACUCUACAAAGCAAAUUUGCAUUACUUAGAAAUGUAAUAAAUGUGCAACAUGUGAAAGGUGGUUCUGUUCCUAGAAAUAUACCCAAGAACUUGCAUACGUGUGUUCUAGUAAUGUCAACAAUGGUCAGAAUAACUAAGGACGAAAUAUUGAGAACAGCACAAGUAUCUGCUGCCAGGAGAUGUAUGAAUCAAUUAGAGCAUGUUAAUGCAAAGAAUUCUGGAUAGCAGAAAAACUAAUCUGUGAAAGCUAUGAAUACCAAAAUGAAUGAACCUCAAAAAUAUAAAUAUCAGGGUAAUAUUGACCUCUAGGGCCCAUUUUCUAAAGGACAGUUUGUAUUGUCUCAAACUACCUGUGAAAUUGUAAAUUUACAUUCUGUGUGCUCAUCAUGACUAUUUUAUAAAAUAAAAAAGCAAUUUUAAGGAA